rfam:Physcomitrella patens subsp. patens PHYPAscaffold_20 genomic scaffold, whole genome shotgun sequence.
UCGUGUGCCAUGAUGUUACCAAACUGUUUUGGACUAGAGUUUCUGAUCUGGAGUGCAAGCCAGCAUUGAAGAAACCACUCUUGUCUGUUUGAACACGCUA